GAAGGAGCCGUCUAAGGCAGGGCAGAUGACUGGGGUGAAGUCGUAACAAGGUAGCCGUAGGAGAACCUGCGGCUGGAUCACCUCCUUUCUNNNNNNNNNNNAAAGGAAGCAGCGGAUAUGGAGAGUAGAAAUACUAAGAGAAGUAUCCAAAGCAAGCGGAAGCACACUGAGAAACUUUGUUUAGUUUUGAGGGUAUUACCUCAAAGAUUUGAAUACACCCAAGCGUUAGUCGGGCCUAUAGCUCAGCUGGUUUAGAGCGCACGCCUGAUAAGCGUGAGGUCGAUGGUUCCAAAGUCCAUUUAGGCCCAUUGACAUAACGAAAAAUGAGAGUUAUUGUUAUGUCUGCCUAUAAAAAAUAAUACUUGGGGGCUUAGCUCAGUUGGGAGAGCACCUGCUUUGCACGCAGGAGGUCAUCGGUUCGAACCCGUUAGCCUCCAUUGGAUCGAGAGGUCCAGAGUUAGCACAUUGAAAACUGAAUACAAUCCAAGCAAAAACCGAGACAAUCAAAGAAGAGAUUGAAGAGCGACCGAGAAGAGAGAUUCUUGAGUAAGGUCAAGUAGAAAAGGGCGCACGGUGAAUGCCUAGGCACUAGAAGCCGAUGAAGGACGUAACGAACUGCGAAAAGCUUCGGGGAGCUGUAAGUAAGCUAAGAUCCGGAGAUGUCCGAAUGGGGGAACCCGGUGCAGGAGAUGCAUCAUUGCAUGCUGUUAAGGCAUGUAAGGGAAGACGCAGCGAACUGAAACAUCUAAGUAGCUGCAGGAAGAGAAAGAAAAAUCGAUUUCCUUAGUAGCGGCGAGCGAAGAGGAAAGAGCCUAAACCCGUUGAUUUAUCAGCGGGGGUUGUAGGACUGCGCAAGGCAGCUCAAAGGAUAGCAGAACUACCUGGGAAGGUAGGCCAGAGAGGGUGAGAGCCCCGUAAGCGAAAUCCAGCGAGCGCCGGCAGGAUCCUGAGUAGGGCGGAACACGAGGAAUUCCGUUUGAAUCCGCGAGGACCAUCUCGCAAGGCUAAAUACUAGCUAGUGACCGAUAGUGAACCAGUACCGUGAGGGAAAGGUGAAAAGAACCCCGGAAGGGGAGUGAAAGAGAACCUGAAACCGUGUGCCUACAAGUAGUCAGAGCACAUUAAAGUGUAAUGGCGUGCCUUUUGUAGAAUGAACCGGCGAGUUAUGCUGUGCAGCGAGGUUAAGUCAGAAAAGACGGAGCCGGAGCGAAAGCGAGUCUGAAGAGGGCGAGAAGUUGUGCGGUGUAGACCCGAAACCAAGUGACCUACCCAUGACCAGGUUGAAGGUGCGGUAAAACGCACUGGAGGACCGAACCCACGUAAGUUAAAAAUUGCGGGGAUGAGUUGUGGGUAGCGGUGAAAUUCCAAACGAACUUGGAGAUAGCUGGUUCUCUCCGAAAUAGCUUUAGGGCUAGCCUCGUGGAGAGGAUAAUGGAGGUAGAGCUCUGUUUGGACAAGGGGCCCGUCAGGGGUUACUAAAUCCAGAUAAACUGCGAAUUCCAGAUAUCCAUACACGGGAGUCAGACUGCGAGUGAUAAGAUCCGUAGUCGAAAGGGAAACAGCCCAGAUCACCAGUUAAGGUCCCCAAAUCUAUGCUAAGUGGAAAAGGAUGUGGAGUUGCGUAGACAACUAGGACGUUGGCUCAGAAGCAGCCAUCAUUCAAAGAGUGCGUAAUAGCUCACUAGUCGAGUGGCUCUGCGCCGAAAAUUUACCGGGGCUAAGCAUAGUACCGAAACUGUGGACGUGUUUUAAAGAGCACGUGGUAGGAGAGCGUUCUAAGAGCGGAGAAGUCUGAUCGAGAGGACAGAUGGAGCGCUUAGAAGUGAGAAUGCCGGUAUGAGUAGCGAAAGAUAGGUAAGAAUCCUAUCCGCCGGAAGACUAAGGUUUCCUGGGGCAGGCUCGUCCGCCCAGGGUAAGUCGGGACCUAAGGCAAGGCCGAGAGGCGUAACCGAUGGAUAACAGGUAGAGAUUCCUGUACUGCGUUUAAUCGUUAAGAGCGAAGGAGGGACGCAGGAGGCGAAGCACCGCAUGGCGCUGGAAGGCCAUGUUCAAGCGAUAAGCCUGGGAGCGAGUUAAAUGCUUGCUUCUAAGGGCAAGUCGUGAGGAGGAGCGAAGUUAAAGUAGCGAAGGUGCAAGAGUCACACUGCCAAGAAAAGCUUCUAGCCAGAGAGAACGUACCCGUACCGCAAACCGACACAGGUAGUCAAGUGGAGAACACUAAGGUGAGCGAGAGAACUCUCGUUAAGGAACUCGGCAAAAUGACCCCGUAACUUCGGGAGAAGGGGUGCUGAUCGAGAGAUCAGCCGCAGAGAAUAGGCCCAAACAACUGUUUAUCAAAAACACAGGUCUCUGCAAAGUCGUAAGACGACGUAUAGGGGCUGACACCUGCCCGGUGCUGGAAGGUUAAGAGGAGUGCUUAGCUUCGGCGAAGGUACGAAUUUAAGCCCCAGUAAACGGCGGCCGUAACUAUAACGGUCCUAAGGUAGCGAAAUUCCUUGUCGGGUAAGUUCCGACCUGCACGAAAGGUGUAAUGAUUUGGGCACUGUCUCAACGAGAGACUCGGUGAAAUUAUAAUACCCGUGAAGAUGCGGGUUACCCGCGACAGGACGGAAAGACCCCAUGGAGCUUCACUGUAGCUUGAUAUUGAGUAUCUGUUAAACAUGUACAGGAUAGGUAGGAGCCAGAGAAGGUAGGACGCUAGUCUUACUGGAGGCGAUGUUGGGAUACUACCCUUGUUUGAUGGAUGCUCUAACCUAGGCCCGUAAGCCGGGCCAGGGGACAGUGUCAGGUAGGCAGUUUGACUGGGGCGGUCGCCUCCUAAAGUGUAACGGAGGCGCUCAAAGGUUCCCUCAGAAUGGUUGGAAAUCAUUCGCAGAGUGUAAAGGUAUAAGGGAGCUUGACUGCGAGAGAGACAGCUCGAGCAGGGACGAAAGUCGGACUUAGUGAUCUGGUGGUACCGUAUGGAAGGGCCAUCACUCAACGGAUAAAAGCUACCCUGGGGAUAACAGGCUUAUCUCCCCCAAGAGUUCACAUCGACGGGGAGGUUUGGCACCUCGAUGUCGGCUCGUCGCAUCCUGGGGCUGAAGUUGGUCCCAAGGGUUGGGAUGUUCGCCCAUUAAAGCGGCACGCGAGCUGGGUUCAGAACGUCGUGAGACAGUUCGGUCCCUAUCCGUCGUGGGCGCAGGAAAUUUGAGAGGAGCUGUCCUUAGUACGAGAGGACCGGGAUGGACGCACCGCUGGUGUACCAGUUGUCUUGCCAAAGGCAUCGCUGGGUAGCUAUGUGCGGAAGGGAUAAGCGCUGAAAGCAUCUAAGUGCGAAGCCCCCCUCAAGAUGAGAUUUCCAAUGCAAGAAGUAAGACACCUCAGAGACGAUGAGGUAGAUAGGCUGGGAGUGGAAGUUCUGCGAAGAAUGGAGCGGACCAGUACUAAUCAGUCGAGAACUUGACCAAAGCUCAGAGGUUGGAGCUUGGAAUGUAUUUAGUUUUGAGCGUGGAAGCUCAAGAAAGAGUACGGUGGCGAUACGAGAAGGAUACACCUGUUCCCAUCCCGAACACGCGGCG
rnacentral:rRNA from 1 species